rnacentral:rRNA from 1 species
UACAGAGGGGGCAAGCGUUGUUCGGAAUUACUGGGCGUAAAGGGCGCGUAGGCGGCCUUCUAAGUCGAACGUGAAAUCCCCGGGCUCAACCCGGGAACUGCGUCCGAUACUGGAAGGCUUGAAUCCGGGAGAGGGAUGUGGAAUUCCAGGUGUAGCGGUGAAAUGCGUAGAUAUCUGGAGGAACACCGGUGGCGAAGGCGACAUCCUGGACCGGUAUUGACGCUGAGGCGCGAAAGCCAGGGGAGC